AACAGGAUUAGAUACCCUGGUAGUCCACGCCGUAAACUAUGGAUGCUAGCUGUAAGAGGUAUCGACCCCUCUUGUAGCGAAGCUAACGCGUUAAGCAUCCCGCCUGUGGAGUACGGUCGCAAGACUAAAACAUAAAGGAAUUGACGGGGACCCGCACAAGCGGUGGAGCGUGUUGUUUAAUUCGAUGGUAAACGAAGAACCUUACCCAGGUUUGACAUCCUUGGAAUUUUGCCGAAAGGCGAGAGUGCUUUAUUGAGCCAAGUGACAGGUGUUGCAUGGCCGUCGUCAGCUCGUGUCGUGAGAUGUUUGGUUAAGUCCAUCAACGAGCGCAACCCUUAUGGUCUGUUGUAUUUCUCAGGCCAGACUGCCCUGGUAACAGGGAGGAAGGGGGGGAUGAUGUCAGGUCAGUAUUACCCUUACAUCUGGGGCUACAAACACGCUACAAUGGCCGGUACAAAGGGCUGCCAAGUCGCGAGACGGAGCAAAUCCCAUCAAAGCCGGUCCCAGUUCGGAUAAGAGGCUGAAACUCGCCUCUUUGAAGUCGGAAUCGCUAGUAACGGUAGGUCAGCUAUACUACCGUGAAUACGUUCCCGAGUCUUGUACACACCGCCCGUCAAACCAUGAAAGUCGCCAAUACCUGACGUGUGAGCUUCGCCUCGCCCUAAGGUAGGGGAGAUGAUUGGGGUUAAGUCGUAACAAGGUAACC
rnacentral:rRNA from 1 species